rnacentral:tRNA from 1 species
CACGGUGGUAUAGCGGUCAGAACGCUGGCCUUGUAAUCCUGGGGUCUCGGGUUCGAUUCCCGGCGGUG